UUCCCACACCAGGAAUUGAACCCAGGCUUUCUGGGUGAAAGCUAGAUAUCCUAGCUACUAGACCACGUGGGA
rnacentral:tRNA from 1 species